rnacentral:lncRNA from 1 species
AUACACAGAACCACAAAAUAAUAAUAAUAAUACAUGAACACAAUAAACUUAAUUAAUAUUUCAUAUAUAUAUAUAUAUCAUUCCAAUUGUUCAUAACUUCAUAACCAACCAAGUAUUAAGUUAAUAAAAUAAGUAACCAACGGCCUAUGCAUCAUUCACAAUUAAAGGCCUAUGCAUCAUUCACAAAAGGAAGACCUAUCAUUCACAACUAAAGGCCUAUGCAUCAUUCACAAAAAAGACCUAUCAUUCACAACCACAACUAAAGGCCUAUGCAUCAUUCAAAAAAUCACAACUUAAGGCCUAUGCAUAAUUCAAAAAAAAGGACCUAUUAUAGUAUCAUUCACAAAAGACAUAAUCUAGACAUUCAAAAUAUCUUCCAAUCCAACAUCUUGAUAAUAGUCAUUAAGGAGAGAUGAAGGACAAAUUAACACAGAUGAAUACAAAGAGAUAGAUGAAAACAGAGAGAUGGAUGAGAUGAAAACAGCAGAUGAAGGAAAAAUUAACACAGACAGGAUAAAGGAAAAAAUGAGAUAGAUGAAAACAAAGAGAUGGAUGAGAUGAAAACAGAGAGAUGGUUUGAAACAGAGAGAUGAGAUAGAUGAAACAGAGAGAUUGAUGAGAUGAAAACAGAGAGAUGGUUUGAAACAGAGAGAUGAGAUGAAACGAAAGUGAAGGAAAGGAACGAGAUGUUAGGUUUGAAACAGAGGAAACAAAAGGAAACAAAAGGAAAGGAACGAGAUGUUAUGAAGGAAGCAAGGCUGAAUCGCGAUUGAAGAAUUGAGAAGACACAUGACGGCGUUUCUUUCUUCAGAGAAGAAACGCGUAUUUUUCUUAGGGUUUCUGAGAAAAAAGAAGCGUGUUUUGUACUCUGUGUCUUGACCCGACCCGGUUUGACUGCAAGGCCCAACCAAUUUUAAACCCAAAUCGUUUUAUUUUUACGAACCUGCUGUUGCUUUAC